rnacentral:lncRNA from 1 species
GAUUUUAUAUGCUUAGCAGAAUAUAUUGCUACAUCCGAUACUGCGAAGGAGACGGCAUGGUUGUAAAAGUUCAUUAUCGAGCUUGGAGUUACACUCUCUGUUGAUGGCCCUGUUCUGUUGUAUUAUGAUAGUACUGAGCCAUAGCUCAAGCGAAGGAACAAAAAUCAUACCAGCAUACUAAGCACAUUUUGUGCCACUAUCACUUUGUAUGAG